rnacentral:lncRNA from 1 species
AAACAUGGCUGAUUUGAAUAACCGAAAUGUUGUACGGCAUUUCUAGUACGGUUUUAACGAACGUGGCGGUGAAAUGGCCGUCGUUGUCUUCAUUUGCGAAACCUACUUUACCUCCUUUCAUGUUGGUGAUGUUGAUGUAACCGGAGGUUCCCGGAGCUUCGCCGGUGGCUUGAAACAUGGUGGCGGUUAAGGUACUGCCUUUUGUAAUUUGGUGAAGUUUCUUAGCGCCGAAGUAAUCGGCGAAUACGUGAAGGGAUAGGACGUUUUUGAGUGUGUAAGUAGGGAGGUGUUUUUCGAGGAGUUCGUUCAUGGCGGCAUUGUCGAUGGCGCAGACGGUGAUGGUUUGUCGGCGGUUGAUUUCUGCGGCUAAGUGUGUGACGGUUAAGUAGUGGUUGAAGGUGGAGAAUUCGGGGUGUUUGGCGAGGAUUUUAGUGAUGUUGUGAGCGGAGGUGGUGGCGGAGAAGAGUAGGAGGAGGAGGAGAGAGAGGGAGAGUGGUGCCGCCGGCGAGAACUUCAUUUUUGCCGGCGAAAGAAGAGAGAUGAAGAUCUGAAGAGAAGAG